rnacentral:rRNA from 1 species
UACGGAGGGUGCAAGCGUUAUCCGGAUUCACUGGGGUUAAAGGGUGCGUAGGCGGGUAUAUAAGUCAGUGGUGAAAGCUCCGGGCUUAACUUGGAAACUGCCAUUGAUACUGUAUAUCUUGAAUGUCGUAGAGGUUAGCGGAAUGUUGCAUGUAGCGGUGAAAUGCUUAGAUAUGUUACAGAACACCAAUUGCGAAGGCAGCUAACUAUGCGAUAAUUGACGCUGAGGCACGAAAGCGUGGGGAGCAAACAGG